UAGAUUUUUAUCUAAAUGCUUCUUCAGGAAGAUUAUCUCUUCGGCUAUAUGCUCGGGUGGUGAUUUGUUACCGAUUACAAUUGUUUCGGUUAUCUUUUUCAUCACCAGAUAUGGUUUCACGUUUGUGACCCACCCGACGUAAUUUUCGCCAGUUAUUUUCAGGGCCGGGAACUGGAAUUUCUCGAUGUUUGCCAUUUGUAUUUCUAAAACACAAAAUAAAAUAUUUUAUUAGAAUUUCGUAAUUUUAAAACGAACCAUUUAUAUUGAUAAUACACGCAAUUACAAGGAGAAGCAACGCAUAGAAAAGUAAACCGACAUUAAGCGCAAAUUCUCCAGGAGCAAAUUCUCCAAUAAAAAGACCAUACAUAGAAGCAAAAAUAAAAAUUGCACAUAAGGCAAAAAAUAUGCGAAUCAUCUUUCUUGAAAUGAAAAAAAAUCGGAGGAGAGCGA
rnacentral:lncRNA from 1 species